GCCGGUCCUCGGUAGUGGCUCCCGGAACUGGCAAUUCCGGUGGCUUCGAUCGAAGACCGGC
rfam:Streptomyces sparsogenes DSM 40356 contig00071, whole genome shotgun sequence.